GACGUAGGGCGCGAGCGUUGUCCGGAUUUAUUGGGCGUAAAGAGCUCGUAGGCGGCUUGUCGCGUCGUCCGUGAAAACUUGGGGCUCAACCCCAAGCUUGCGGUCGAUACGGGCAGGCUAGAGUUCGGUAGGGGAGACUGGAAUUCCUGGUGUAGCGGUGAAAUGCGCAGAUAUCAGGAGGAACACCGGUGGCGAAGGCGGGUCUCUGGGCCGAUACUGACGCUGAGGAGCAAAAGCGUGGGGAGCGAACAGG
rnacentral:rRNA from 1 species